rfam:Oryza meridionalis cultivar OR44 (W2112) chromosome 1, whole genome shotgun sequence.
UUUAAAUACAAUUAUGAGUUUUCGUGCCCCAUUUUGAUUGUUCGUUUUAUUUAAUUUUUUUAUAAUUAGUAUUUUUAUUGUUAUAAGAUGAUAAAAUAUGAAUAAUACUUUAUGCGUGAAUUAUGUUCUCAUUUUUUUUAAAAAAAUAAAAUAAGAUGAACGAUCAAGUUGGAUAUAGAAAAUUAUUGCUACACUUAUA